UCGAGGAUCAUUCGCAAUGCGCGAAAGCGUGACGAUGCGACGCUGCGUGGAGGAUGACGGCCUUCGGGUUGUAAACUCCUGUCAUCCGGGAGCAAUGAUUUCGGCGAUAACAUCGCCGGAGUGUGAUAGUACCGGAAAAGGAAGCCACGGCUAACUCUGUGCCAGCAGCCGCGGUAAUACAGAGGUGGCGAGCGUUGUUCGGAUUUACUGGGCGUAAAGGGUGCGUAGGCGGCUUUGCAAGUCGGGUGUGAAAUCUCACCGCUCAACGGUGAAACUGCAUUCGAUACUGCAGGGCUAGAGUGCAGGAGAGGAAGGCGGAAUUCUUGGUGUAGCGGUGGAAUGCGUUGAUAUCAAGAAGAACACCGGUGGCGAAGGCGGCCUUCUGGAAUGCAACUGACGCUGAGGCACGAAAGUUGGGGUAGCAAACAGGAUUAGAUACCCUGGUAGUCCCAACUGUAAACGUUGUGCACUUGGUGUGGGGGGAUUUGACCCCCUCCGUGCCGUAGCUAACGCGAUAAGUGCACCGCCUGGGGAGUACGGCCGCAAGGCUA
rnacentral:rRNA from 1 species